rnacentral:rRNA from 1 species
AGGUGGUUAUUGCAGCGGGCUCACCUCUAUCCAUUUCGAACAGAGAAGUUAAGCCCGCUAGCGCAGAUGGUACUGCUAACCAGUGGGAGAGUAUGUCGCCGCCUU